GAUGAACGCUAGCGGGAGGCCUAACACAUGCAAGCCGAGCGGUAGAGCUGCAUCGGAAACUUGAGAGCGGCGCACGGGGGCGUAACACGUGUGCAACCUACCGUUAUCUGGGGGACAGCCUGGCGAAAGGAAGAUAAAUACCCCAUAAAAUAAUGAUUGGCAUCAAUUAUAAUCGAAAACUCCGGUGGAUAGAGAUGGGCACGCGCAAGAUUAGAGAGUUGGUGAGGUAACGGCUCACCAAGUCAAUGAUCUUUAGGUGUCCUGAGCGGGAGAUCCCCCACACUGGUGCUGCGGCCCGGACCAGACUCCUACGCGGGGCUGCAGUAUGGAGUAUUGGACACUGGGUGCGAGCCUGAUCCAGCCACCCCGGGUGAAGGAUGCCGGUCCUAUGGAUUGUAAUCUUCUUUUGUACAGGGACAACCCUACCCUCGUGAGGUUUUCUGACGGUACUGUACGAAUAAGCACCGGCUAACUCCGUG
rnacentral:rRNA from 1 species